CCCUCCCCCAUGGUCAUCUGUUAAGUUUCUCAAGAUCCACAUAAGAGUGAAAACAUAUGUAUCUGUCUUUCUCUGUAUGACUUAGUUCACUUAGCAUAAUAUCCUCCAGUUCCAUCCAUGUUGCUACAAAUGGCC